GCCUGGGUGGCUCAGUCGGUUGAGCAUCCGACUUCGGCUUAGGUCACGAUCUCGCGGUCCGUGAGUUCGAGCCUCGCUUCGGGCU
rfam:Felis catus isolate Cinnamon breed Abyssinian chromosome B4, whole genome shotgun sequence.